GACAAGAUGGCCGAGAGGUCUAAGGCGGUAGAUUCAAGAGGAUAUUUCAUCUCUUAUCUCUUUCAAAGAGAAAAACCUACUCCCGAAAGGGUCCGGGGUUCGAAUCCCCGUCUUGUCA